UGUGUAGGUGGCUGUGCAAGUCGAAGAUGAAAUCCCAUGGCUCAACCAUGGAAUGGUCUUCGAAACUGCGCGGCUUGAGGAUGGUUGAGGAAGACGGAAUUCCCGGUGGAGCGGUGAAAUGCGUAGAUAUCGGGAGGAACACCAGAGGCGAAGGCGGUCUUCUGAGCCAUUCCUGACACUGAGACACGAAAGCUAGGGGAGCGAACG
rnacentral:rRNA from 1 species